AUUGAACGCUGGCGGCAUGCCUUACACAUGCAAGUAGAACGGUAACGCGGGGCAACCUGGCGACGAGUGGCGAACGGGUGAGUAAUACAUCGGAACGUGCACAGAAGUGGGGGAUAGCCCGGCGAAAGCCGGAUUAAUACCGCAUGAGACCUGAGGGUGAAAGCGGGGGAUCGCAAGACCUCGCGCUUUUGGAGCGGCCGAUGUCAGAUUAGCUAGUUGGUGGGGUAAAGGCCUACCAAGGCGACGAUCUGUAGCUGGUCUGAGCGGACGACCAGCCACACUGGGACUGAGACACGGCCCAGACUCCUACGGGAGGCAGCAGUGGGGAAUUUUGGACAAUGGGCGCAAGCCUGAUCCAGCCAUGCCGCGUGCGGGAAGAAGGCCUUCGGGUUGUAAACCGCUUUUGUCAGGGAAGAAACGCUCUGGGCUAAUACCCUGGGGUAAUGACGGUACCUGAAGAAUAAGCACCGGCUAACUACGUGCCAGCCGCCGCCGUAA
rnacentral:rRNA from 1 species